CGCGUAGGGUGCGAGCGUUGUCCGGAAUUAUUGGGCGUAAAGAGCUCGUAGGCGGUGUGUCGCGUCGGCCGUGAAAACCUGCAGCUUAACUGUGGGCUUGCGGUCGAUACGGGCAUCACUGGAGUUCGGCGGGGGAGACUGGAAUUCCUGGUGUAGCGGUGAAAUGCGCAGAUAUCAGGAGGAACACCGGUGGCGAAGGCGGGUCUCUGGGCCGAUACUGACGCUGAGGCGCGAAAGCGUGGGGAGCAAACAGG
rnacentral:rRNA from 1 species